CAACGCCUGACGAAGCAACGUUCCCGCCACAGCAUCCACCUUAACCUUCCAAAUGCCACUGCUGUGAAGAGGAGCCAUCGCAGAUUGCCAUGGCGACAGAGCCCUUCUGACCCAGGGGAUCCACUGAUCUCAGGCACUGUCUAACCGACACCUUGUGACAGAGGAGCCCGACAGCCUCUGGCUGACCCUCUGGAGACAGAAGGGCACACGGCUGCCAUUUUCACCGAUUCCUCAUUGGUGGGGCAGUCAGGAAGUGCACAGGCUGAAUCACAGAUUAUCUUCAGGAACACAACUGGGUGACAUGGCAAGUGCAGUGAACAACUCACUCUCCAACAUGUGCCAUGACUACGCUCAAAAGGAAUCUAUUCUCUUCUGUUCUCCUAUUUACUCAUUGCUUCAACUUAUAGAACCCAAAUGGAUGUGUGCAGUGUUCACUAAUAUGAAGACCCUCGAUCAGAGUCAUAGGGAGCUGUGAGAGAAUUUUCUGCAACAUUGCUAUUGUCUCAUAGCCUGUGUAUCCAAUAAGGGAGCUACUGGCCACAUGCAGCUAUUGUACACUUGAAAUGUGACUAGUGGCUACAGAAUUAGCACAACUAUGCAUAUAAGCAUAACUAAGCAAUAAGCAUAACUAAGUUAUCCUUAGAAUAGGAUAACUCCAUCACCCCAACUUAUAUUUUCUGG
rnacentral:antisense_RNA from 1 species